GGAGAGGGCUAGCGUUAUUCGGAAUUAUUGGGCGUAAAGGGCGCGUAGGCGGAUUAGUAAGUUAAAAGUGAAAUCCCAAGGCUCAACCUUGGAAUUGCUUUUAAAACUGCUAAUCUAGAGAUUGAAAGAGGAUAGAGGAAUUCCUAGUGUAGAGGUGAAAUUCGUAAAUAUUAGGAGGAACACCAGUGGCGAAGGCGUCUAUCUGGUUCAAAUCUGACGCUGAGGCGCGAGGGCGUGGGGAGCAAACAGGAUUAGAUACCCUGGUAGUCCACGCUGUAAACGAUGAAUGUUAAAUAUGGGGAGUUUACUUUCUGUAUUACAGCUAACGCGUUAAACAUUCCGCCUGGGGACUACGGUCGCAAGAUUAAAACUCAAAGGAAUUGACGGGGACCCGCACAAGCGGUGGAGCAUGUGGUUUAAUUCGAUGCAACGCGAAAAACCUUACCACUCCUUGACAUGGAAAUUAUACCUAUUCGAAGGGAUAGGGUCGGUUCGGCCGGGUUUCACACAGGUGU
rnacentral:rRNA from 1 species